CUUGUUAAUAGACGAGGUGGCUUCUACCGAACGGCCAGGCAAACAGGGGAAAGAACAAGAUGAUCCAGGGACUAGGAGCACAAAACAUAGGAAAUAACAGGGGGGACAAGCUACAGGAAUAAGGGUGACAGUCAAAGGUUCAUUCCGCUACAGGUCCAUUUAAUCUUUAAGGUUUUCAGUCUGUUUUAUCAUAUGCCCCUCUCCCCCCGUGCUAUACAU